CACACACAGCUAGCUCUUCAGGCCAGGCCCCCAGGGUUUCGUCCACCUCUCACCUUUGACGACGCGAAUGAAGAAUGAGGAGGUGCUGCGAUCGAACGACUGCGAGGAAACACACCCGCUCUCAUGGCAUUCCCAGUAAACUGAGAAGACGUGAUUAAACCUCAGGAUCUCCUACUAAUAGAGAAAUGUAUAACGAUUUAGCUACCAGAUCUGAAUACUGAAGGGUUGGUAGGGGACCAGAGAAUAGAGGAAGCAUUGUAGGUUCUAGAGUGGAGAAGGGACCAUCCAAAAUGGAGUUUGAAAGAGAAUUCUGGCCUUUGUGUUUAGAGUCUGGAAUUGUCAAGAGUCUGAAAGCACAGAAUAAGACUGCAGCUAGAGCAAUUUAGGCGCCAUAGUUUGUCAAAACAGAGACGGGAUCUCACUGUGUUGCCCAGGCUGGUCUCGAACUGCUGGACUCAAGUCAUCCUCCCAUCUUGGCCUCCCAAAGUGCUGGAAUUACAGUGGACAACCUUCAAUGCACUGGUACUUUGUACCCUGACCUCUACUGUGAUGAACACUCAACUUGGGCAAGGAAGUGAAAUUCUCCAAAGGCCCAGCACCUUAGCACCUGAGGCUGCUACCUGAGAAGUACGCACUGUUCUGGCUUCAUGGAGACCAUGCUCCAUUUCUGCUGUUGAAGUCUUUGAGAGACCAGGAUCAUGGGCUGAGUGCAACCUCCUCCCCAUGCCAUCUGCAGAGCCUGAAGAGGAAAACACAAAUACAAGUUGAGGCCAUCUCUUCCCCUAGGGCCUAACCUCUAAGCCUAGCAGCACAAACUCAGGAGCUGUUGUUUCAUUUAAUAAUAAAUAUGCAUCCUUGAAUUCAACGGAGGAACAUGCUCCUGGAAUUUAGAAGCAAGAGGGGCUGGGCGCGGUGGCUCACACCUGUAAUCCCAGCACUUUGGGAGGCCAACACGGGCAGAUCACGAGGUCAGGAGAUCGAGACCACCCUGGCUAACAUGGUAAAACCCUGUCUCUACUAAAAAUACAAAAAAUUAGCCGGGCGUGGUGGCAGGCACCUGUAAUCCCAGCUACUCGGGAGGCUGAGGCAGGAGAAUGGCGUGAACCCGGGAGGCGUAGCUUGCAGUGAGCGGAGAUCACGCCACUGCACUCCAGCCCGGGUGACAGAGCGAGACUCCGUCUCAAAAAAAAAAAGAAACAAGAAUUUUAGAAUAUAGAUAGUUUACUGAGUGUCCCCAUCUUGCUUCAUUUCAUUUUUGUAAACAUAAUCAGCUUCUGUCAGACUUAGGCUCAAGACUUAUAGACAGAGGAAAGUAUCUAACACAGUGAGUUUUGUUUUCUAACACAGUGAUUUUCUAAAGUAUCUGUGGUGACAAAGGAAAUUAUCUCCAGUCUAGUUCAGAAUAGAAAUGAUCAUAAUAAUCAUCUAUCAAACCUCCUCAUUUUAUAUAACAGGAAAAUGAGUUCCAGGGUCUGAGAGUUUAGUAGUUUAACCAGGAUUAAAAUUAAAUCCUCUUGAUUUUCAGUACAGUACUCUUACCAUCUCACCUGGUGACCUCUUUUACUCUGAGAGCAGGAGCUCCUCAGGAAUGUUUUACAUAUGUAAUGCUCUUUUCCCCUUAGCUUCUCUCAAAUCAUUUAAAUUUCUAAACAACCACUAAAUGCUUACCUCUUUUCAAAAUCUUUCUAGAUUGUUCAGUUGCUCUAAACUGGAUUGGUGACUCCCAAGGGGCUAUCCCCAAUCCAACUAAUUAAGUUUUCCAUUCCAAAACUGUAUAUGCCCCUGACCUACAUUUGAUACAUAUGUCCAUGGCCAAUUCAUGUCUUGAUUUGAUGAUUUGAUUCUAAUAUAUAUAUAUAUAUCUGGCUGAAGCUGAUAUUAUUCAUGUAAGUAUUGUAAGACCAGUUAUUUUCAGUAUUCCUGGGUACUUAAAUGCAGUGCUUUCAAUACCACCUCAGAUUCAUCUGGGAACUUUUAAAAAUAUAGCUUCCUGGAUGUUACCACAGAGCUGAAUCAGAAGGUUUGUGGUUGGUGCCUGGGAAUUUUCAUUUUUGAAAGGUUCCCAAAAAGUCUAAGAAAAUAUCCUUGAACAUUAUUGGGGGAAAUGGGAAAUGUUACAGUCUUCCUAAAAAACAACCUGGUAAUCUCCAAUAAAAUAAAAAAUAUAUUUAUCCUGUUGCCCAACGAUUCUAAUCCUGAGAAGAAGAAGAAAAAAAUACCAGUUCAUAACAACAUAUAUAUGAGAAUAUUUUCUACUGACAUAAUUUAUAGUAGCCAAGAACUAGAAAUAAAGUAAUGCCCACCUAUAGAAGAAUAAAUACAUUAUGGUUUAAUACCAGAUAUUGUCCAGCCACUUAAAAAGAUUGAACUGAGUUAAACUAGAUGAUUUGAAGAAAUUUUAAUGAAACAUUGUUGCAUUAAAAGGAAAAAAAUCUGUAAAAUGAUAGACAAGCAUUUGUUUAUGUAUAUGUAGGUCUACAUAGGAUUGUAUAAACAGAAAAUACAGUGUAUGCACACUAGAUAAUUACCUGGGGAAGUAGGGACUGGCUGUGAGAGAAGAGACAGGAAAAUUGUCUAUAAUAAAAACAGCAUGUGUGUUAUGUUCUUAUUUCUAUAAAAUUA
rnacentral:lncRNA from 1 species